UCAAAAUAAACAAUUAUUUAAUUUAAUUAAUUAUGUUAUCAUUUUAUGAAAUAUAAAAGAAAAUACUACAUAAUUCAUUUAUUUCUUUUAAGGUGAAUUUUUGCAAAGUUUAAGUUCAAUUCUCCACAGUUAUAAAUUCUUCUUCCUUAAUUCUCUUAAGCCUGGGUCUUCUAUGUAUCGAAAAAAGGAGGAUUAAAUCAGACUAACGGCAAAAAAAAAAAAAAAAAAAACAGGCAUGCAACAAUUCUCAACAUUCUUUGCACUUUUUUUAUUCUCUUUAUUUAUCUUUGUUUCCUUUCUUUUUCUUGACUAACUUUAGCGUUUGGAGUACUGCUUCUAACUCUUCUUGACCUUCUUUCUUCUUCGUAGCAAGUAUGAUACACUUAUCAAUUCAACCUUCAAUUAAUCUCUUUCCCAUUGAAUCAAAAAAAAUGCAUCAACAAUAAUAAUUCUUUUAAUAAAUCACAAAUAACAAUUGGUUUUAGAAAUUAAAACAUUGGUAGCAUUUUUUCCUAAAUUUUUUGACUCAAACAUCAAUGUGACAAGUUCUCAUUAAUAUGCAUAAUAAAUUGGAAUAUUCUGGACUAGGUUAACACGUUCAUUCUGCCAUUACAUUUUAUAAAAUAAUAUCGUUGAUUUUUUGGAAUAAUGAAAUUUUGUAUUAUUUUUUGUCUCAUAUUAUGUG
rnacentral:lncRNA from 1 species